ACAUCCCGGAGACCCUUAGGAAACUAGGGGUGCUUCCAUCUGGAAGAAUCUGGAGACAGGUGCUGCAUGGCUGUCGUCAGCUCGUGUCGUGAGAUGUUGGGUUAAGUCCCGCAACGAGCGCAACCCUUGCCUUUAGUUGCCAGCAGUUCGGCUGGGCACUCUAAAGGGACUGCCGGUGUUAAACCGGAGGAAGGUGGGGAUGACGUCAAGUCCUCAUGGCCUUUAUGACCAGGGCUACACACGUACUACAAUGGCCGAUACAAAGGGCAGCGACACUGCGAGGUGAAGCCAAUCCCGUAAAAUCGGUCUCAGUCCGGAUUGGAGUCUGCAACUCGACUCCAUGAAGUUGGAAUCGCUAGUAAUCGUGGAUCAGCAUGCCACGGUGAAUACGUUCCCGGGCCUU
rnacentral:rRNA from 1 species